GAUGAACGCUGGCGGCGUGCCUAAUACAUGCAAGUCGAGCGAACAGAUGAGGAGCUUGCUCCUCUGACGUUAGCGGCGGACGGGUGAGUAACACGUGGAUAACCUACCUAUAAGACUGGGAUAACUUCGGGAAACCGGAGCUAAUACCGGAUAAUAUAUUGAACCGCAUGGUUCAAUAGUGAAAGACGGUUUUGCUGUCACUUAUAGAUGGAUCCGCGCCGCAUUAGCUAGUUGGUAAGGUAACGGCUUACCAAGGCAACGAUGCGUAGCCGACCUGAGAGGGUGAUCGGCCACACUGGAACUGAGACACGGUCCAGACUCCUACGGGAGGCAGCAGUAGGGAAUCUUCCGCAAUGGGCGAAAGCUUGACGGAGCAACGCCGCGUGAGUGAUGAAGGUCUUCGGAUCGUAACACUCUGUUAUUAGGGAAGAACAAAUGUGUAAGUAACUAUGCACGUCUUGACGGUACCUAAUCAGAAAGCCACGGCUAACUACGUG
rnacentral:rRNA from 1 species